UGCCCAGACUCCUACGGGAGGCAGCAGUGGGGGAUAUUGCACAAUGGGGGAAACCCUGAUGCAGCGACGCCGCGUGGGUGAAGAAGCGCCUCGGCGCGUAAAGCCCUGUCAGCAGGGAAGAAAGUGACGGUACCUGAAGAAGAAGCCCCGGCUAACUACGUGCCAGCAGCCGCGGUAAUACGUAGGGGGCAAGCGUUAUCCGGAUUCACUGGGUGUAAAGGGAGCGUAGACGGCCAUGCAAGCCUGGAGUGAAAGCCCGGGGCCCAACCCCGGGACUGCUCUGGGAACUGUGCGGCUGGAGUGCGGGAGGGGCAGGCGGAAUUCCUGGUGUAGCGGUGAAAUGCGUAGAUAUCAGGAGGAACACCGGCGGCGAAGGCGGCCUGCUGGACCGCGACCGACGUUGAGGCCCGAAAGCGUGGGGAGCAAACAGGAUUAGAUACCCGGGUAAC
rnacentral:rRNA from 1 species